UUGAAUUUAUUGAUAGAUCCGUGAGACCAAUCACAACCUAAUGGACGUGUUUCGAUCAUUCGAUCUGACGUCUUCAACUUUGUAGUUUUUCCGGAAAAUUGUUGCAAAUUUAGGUUCAACUUGCUUCCUUCAACAUUUCUCUUUUUUAAACGUUACAUUUUAUUAUAGCGUCUUGAAAGAUUCCUUCGUUACCUCAAAAUUUAAGAAAUUUGAUGGCAUACACGAGCGGGUACCUUAGGCUCUCGCAAUUCUGCUUCCCCAUGAGCAUGGCGGCAUGACUCUCCCGCAUAACAAAUAGAAUUAAGCCUUAAAAGAAAGAAAAUAGAGUCAUUGAUCUAAGUUCAUGGCGACCAUGAGCCCAUUUACACUUUGAAUCAUAACAUAAACCCUAAAAUAUCGAAGGACAAUUUCACCAAUUCUAGCAUAUCUUUUUUUUUCUUUACCUUAAUAUAAUUUUCACAUAGUUUUGUUUUAGUAAGGUCUUGUGUUGGUUUUCCUCUUAGGUGAAUGUAAGACGUUUUAACAUUCAUUUUUUUUGAUGGAGAUUG